rfam:Schistosoma mansoni strain Puerto Rico chromosome 2, complete genome
GCACUGCUGAAGAGCUCCACAAUAGGACGAAACGACCGUCCAGUGC